rnacentral:rRNA from 1 species
UGGAAACGAUGAUUAAAACCUCAUAAUGCUGUGAGAUCACAUGGUUUUGCAGCCAAAGAUUUAUCGGCUAAGGAUGGGCCUGCGUCUGAUUAACUAGUUGGUGAGGUAACGGCUCACCAAGGUGACGAUCAGUAGCCGACCUGAGAGGGUGAUCGGCCACAUUGGAACUGAGACACGGUCCAAACUUCUACGGAAGGCAGCAGUAAGGAAUCUUGCACAAUAGGGGAAACCCUGAUGCAGUAACGCCGCGUGAAC